rnacentral:rRNA from 1 species
UACGGAAGGCAGCAGUGGGGAAUAUUGCACAAUGGGCGCAAGCCUGAUGCAGCCAUGCCGCGUGUAUGAAGAAGGCCUUCGGGUUGUAAAGUACUUUCAGUCGUGAGGAAGGUGUUAAGGUUAAUAACCUUAGCAAUUGACGUUAGCGACAGAAGAAGCACCGGCUAACUCCGUGCCAGCAGCCGCGGUAAUACGGAGGGUGCGAGCGUUAAUCGGAAUUACUGGGCGUAAAGGGCACGCAGGCGGUUAAUUAAGUUGGAUGUGAAAUCCCCGGGCUUAACCUGGGAAUGGCAUUCAAGACUGGUUAGCUAGAGUCUUGUAGAGGGGGUAGAAUUCCAUGUGUAGCGGUGAAAUGCGUAGAGAUGUGGAGGAAUCCGGUGGCGAAGGCGGCCCCUGGACAAAGGCUGACGCUCAUGUGCGAAAGCGUGGGGAGCAAAC